UUAUUGGGCCAUGCUAGACAUUUUGUCUUUUGUAUUAUAGGACAUGCAGAAGAGCUUUGAUGAGAAGAACAUUCAGAUGCUGCAGGAAGCUAUCCGCAAACUGGACCUGGAGGAAGGAAAAUACCACCUCAGGAGGUGUUAUUGCCUCUGGACUGUGGGUCCCUGAAUCAGGAGAGUUUGACGAUGAAAAGGAAGACGAGGAAGAAGAUUAGAAUAAGAGAACGGAGAACAUUCCAAUGUUUAACAAUUCAUUUUUGUGCAACAGUGUGCAAGUAUUGUUAUAUUGUAUAUAUC